GGGCCCGCACAAGUGGUGGAGCAUGUGGUUUAAUUCGAAGCAACGCGAAGAACCUUACCAGGUCUUGACAUCCUCUGACAACCCUAGAGAUAGGGCUUUCCCUUCGGGGACAGAGUGACAGGUGGUGCAUGGUUGUCGUCAGCUCGUGUCGUGAGAUGUUGGGUUAAGUCCCGCAACGAGCGCAACCCUUGAUCUUAGUUGCCAGCAUUUAGUUGGGCACUCUAAGGUGACUGCCGGUGACAAACCGGAGGAAGGUGGGGAUGACGUCAAAUCAUCAUGCCCCUUAUGACCUGGGCUACACACGUGCUACAAUGGAUAGUACAAAGGGUUGCAAGACCGCGAGGUGGAGCUAAUCCCAUAAAACUAUUCUCAGUUCGGAUUGUAGGCUGCAACUCGCCUACAUGAAGCCGGAAUCACUAGUAAUCGCGGAUCAGCAUGCCGCGGUGAAUACGUUCCCGGGCCUU
rnacentral:rRNA from 1 species